AAUCAACGCUGGCGGCGUGCCUCAGACAUGCAAGUCGAACGAUUAAAGCUCUCUUCGGAGAGUGCAUAGAGUGGCGCACGGGUGAGUAACACGUAAGUAAUCUACCUUCGAGUGGGGAAUAACGUCCGGAAACGGACGCUAAUACCGCAUAAUGCAGCGGCAUCGUAAGAUGACAGUUGUUAAAGAUUUAUCGCUUGAAGAGGAGCUUGCGGCAGAUUAGCUAGUUGGUAAGGUAAUGGCUUACCAAGGCUACGAUCUGUAACCGGUCUUAGAGGACGGUCGGUCACACUGACACUGAAUAACGGGUCAGACUCCUACGGGAGGCAGCAGUCGGGAAUUUUGGGCAAUGGGCGAAAGCCUGACCCAGCAACGCCGCGUGAAGGAUGAAGUAUUUCGGUAUGUAAACUUCGAAAGAAUAGGAAGAAUAAAUGACGGUACUAUUUGUAAGGUCCGGCUAACUACGUGCCAGCAGCCGCGGUAAU
rnacentral:rRNA from 1 species